GAGAACUGUUCCUUCCUCCUUGGCUGCUCCUGGGUGAUGAGCUUCACAGGGUGAGUUGUAGCGUGUUCGCCACCAGGUGGUGCCAUCAUCCCUACUGAGCCCUACGUGUUCCACUGGACUGAGCGACCUUGGACUACCGAAUUUCCCAGGAGAUCUCGGGGGACUUUCCCUCCAGACCCGAAAAUCCUCAAAUCGGAACAGAAAAUGGACAGGGUGCAUUGAGAAGGACCUGAACGGGGAUGGACCAACCAUGGAAAACCGGGGCCUCUCUGCUGCAGUUUGGUUCAACACCUUCAUGGAGCCCAGGUUGGCAGAAAUUAUGACUACAGCUUCUAUCAACAACAGCAGCAACAACAAAAUUAACUCCAGCUCGAUGUGGAAAGUAAAGACUCCUCCUGUGCCCUGGAACACCAACUGGAGGCUGUCUGGUGAGGUUCAGUUCCCCCCGGCGGGUGUGGAGCUGCAAGGUCGGAGGCUGAGACUUCCAUUCUGUGACUGUGAUAAAAUACCCUGACAAAAAUCAGUAUAGGGGAGGAGUUUAGUGUGCACGAUUCCAGAUUGCAGUGUAUUGUUCAGGGCAAGUCAAGGCAUGAGCUCCAAGCAGCUAGCCACAUUACAUCCACAUCUAAGAGCAGAGAGAGGUGGGUGCGUGCAUGCUUUGUGCUUAGCUGGCUUUCUCUGCUCUCACAUAGUUCAGGACCUCAAAUCAGGCAUGAGGUCCCUACUUUCAGGGACCCUGUGUGCCCUGGUUGUUUGUUUUUGGUUUUGUUUGUUUGUUAUUUGAUAUAAACUAGAAGAACCUCUAGUUUGAUAUUUUCCAGUUGAGAAAACGCCUCAAUCAGAUUGCCUAUAGGCAAGUCUAGGGACAUUUUCCUGAUUCAUGGAUAAAUAUGGAGGGUCCAGAUCACCAUAAGUGUUGCCACCCCUGGGUAAGUGGGCCAGGGUUUUAUAGAAAACAGCCUGAACAAGCCAUGGGGAGCAAGCCAGUAAUCAGCACACACCUAUGGCUUCUGCUUCAGUUCCUGUCUCUGGGUUCCUGCCUGAUGGAGUGUGAUCUGAGAGUUAUAAGAGGAAAUAAACCCUCUCUUCCCCCCA